CACGUAGGGCGCAAGCGUUGUCCGGAAUUAUUGGGCGUAAAGAGCACGUAGGCGGUCUGUUACGUCUGCUGUGAAAACCCUGGGCUUAACCCUGGGCUUGCAGUGGAUACGGGCAGACUAGAGGCAGGUAGGGGAGAAUGGAAUUCCCGGUGUAGCGGUGAAAUGCGCAGAUAUCGGGAGGAACACCGGUGGCGAAGGCGGUUCUCUGGGCCUGACCUGACGCUGAGGAGCGAAAGCGUGGGGAGCGAACAGG
rnacentral:rRNA from 1 species